CGGCUGUCUCUUUAACCCCUCCGCUCCCGGCCCCCUUCCCUCGCUUGUGGGGGGUGGGGUGGCAGGUUGGAGAGGGCGUGGGGUUUAAAGGAAUCCACGCCGGUAGGGAGUUUCUCAACUGGAAGGCGUGUGCAGAGAGAAGUCUGCUCGCUCUGGUUUCGGUGUUCAGCGCUGUGAGCAGGGCAAGUCGUGGUACACGCGAUGCGAGGCUGAGGGCAGGGCUGAACCCGCGGGAGGGGCAGUGCUUAGACUUGGGCUUCACGCGCCUGGGUCUGGGGCGGGGGUUGCCUCCCGACCCGGCCAGGGGCUUCCCAGACUCUUUCAGGGGAGGUGACAGGCAGCUGCCGGUGGGAGCAAAGUUUGACUGUUCCGCGUUGGGCACGGUCUGGCCUCCGGAGCCCUGGGCUGGAGGUGGUCCCCCUCGGCGGGCAGCCUCCUCUCCGGGAGGGCUGGGACCCAGUGCCCGGCAGGCAGCAGAGCCCUGCGAGUCCUUUGCAGCCCUGCUGUGUCAUUGUAGCCCCGGGGAGACCUGCGCCUGGCUGACUGUGUGGAGUUCUUUAGUAUUUCAGUGACAGAACCCACUCAGGAGAGUUGGGGCCAGGCUGGCCAAGGUUGUCAAGGAGCUGAGUUCUGAGUUCAGGUGCCCACGUGGCAGUGGAACGAUGCCUCCUGGCCCUUCAGACCUUGGAGACGUCUGGGAGGCCCUAGAAAUCACCUCGCGUCUCCAGUCCAGGACACAACUGCCUAGGGGAAUCCCAGGGAAAGGCGGCAGAGCAUGUGGCCUGCACGGUGACGGACUCCAACGUGAUCACAGCAGAAGCCACCAAAUUCCAAACCACUGGCAGUUCCAGAGCACAAACCCCCUUCUGAAGAGGAGGCAGGAAGUGAGCCGGGAGGAGGCCUAUUGCUUGGCUAGGAAGCCAAUGAACCACCUUCUUAGGUCUCCUGGAAGCUGCUGAGACACAGUGAUGAAGGCGUCCUCACAUGCAGGAUGGAAUCAAGCGCUUAGAGUGGGCUGAACUCCUGGGACCCCAGUUCUGAGUCAGACUUCUCUCUCUCUCUCUCUCUCUCUCUCUCUCUCUCUCUCUCUCUCUCCUCCCUCUCUCCACAGCUCAUCUCUCUCUGGCUGUAUUUUUUUCGUGGCUCAGGGAAUUGUAACCAGGAAUGGCUCUACUAGGUAUAAUUUUGUUCCCAAACUCUAGGCUUGUUUAUGAACACGUUACUGGGAAUUUAGGAAGGUCUUGCCAGAGCUGCCACAUGUUACCUGAUGAAUCCAAGGUCUACUCUUGGAGUUCUUAAGUCCAGUUAAUAAAAAUAAUAUAGCAACUGACUCAAAAGAAGUUCAAGGACAUUUAUUAUUAGCCUUAAAAAAAAAAAAGCAGAAGAAAAACUGUAAAUCACAGCAGCUGCCCAGAGGAGGAAGAUGGAGAGGGGAACGGAGGCUCGAAGUUUAAGUUAAACCAACAUGAAGGUCAGCCAUAUGGCAGAAAGCAGCCACAUGAUGGUCAGGGCAGCUCAGAAGAAAGAGUGAAGGCCAGAGCACUUCUUCCAGAAAGCUGCUUAGGAGAGAGGUGGAAGGGAAAGGAGAGCUGUGCCUCUCUGGGUCCUUCAGAAAGGUGGGCACUCUCAGAGUGCCAUGGGUACAGUACAGCCUUGUGCGGGGCUGCACAAGCAUGGGGAUUCUGGAGAGGGAAAGCCCGUUAUCCCAUUAGGGGGGCAAUUAUUCCUCUUAUGUCUUUAGAAGCCUUGAGGUGGCCUGGCCUUAUUCGGGGAUGGUCCCUUCACCAGGUGAUCGACCUGCCCAACUGGAAUGUUGGGUAUCCUCCCAGGCCAUUCUCUCGAUAUGAGGAAAAUGGUUUUCUUUUAAUUGGCCUUUCUGCUAUGGCAACAGAAUCUGUCCUUAGAGGUUUCCUCCCAGGCUAAGUAGUGAAUGAGGUUAUGUUGUUGGACUAGCACAGUCCUUGUGUUUAGGUCCUAUCUGUUCCCUAAAGUUUGGAUUCAGGUGCUGGCAUGUAGGAGCCACGUUGCUUAGCUACCAAAGACUUCUUCAACUGUGGCACCUGCUACAGUUAAAACACAGUCAGGCAUGUGUCACACCUGGGGCUCCUGUGAGUCGUUUGAUAUAAAUGAUGGACUACAAAGGAACACGCACCUCACAGUUUGAGAUUUAGGGCUCCUCUGAUCCUGCAGACAGAACAGUAGACAAUGUUUUAAAUAUCAAAAGUGACUUUCGGAUACUUUGAAUCUUUUGGGCAAUUUUGGGUGGUUUUGCAAUUCCAUUUUCUAAGGUCAAAUAGGAGCAGUCAAUCAGUGACCUUACCAGCUGCAUCCUUCGGGCCUCUAAGGAGGUGCCUACCUGGGAAGAGGUGAAGCAAAGGCAUGUUUCCACAGUGGGGUUUGCCAGCCAGACUUUCUGUGUCUGUCCUGUAACUUUGUCUGCCUUGCAAUAAAGUAUCUUCCUUGACU